AGUUAAUGUUUGUAGACCGUGGAGCUACAGAAGCUUAUUUUAGCGCAUAAUAACAUUGAAUCGUUGAGGGAAGAUCUCAGAAACUUGCCUUUAUUGUCUGUACUUAAUGUUAGACACAACAAGCUAUCCCUCCUGCCGGCUGCCAUAGGCGAGCUUCACAUGCUAAAAUCAUUAGAUGUUUCAUUUAACAUGAUAUCCAGCAUACCUGAAGAAAUUGGAUCGGCAACUGCUUUGGUCAAGUUUAAAUGCUCAAAUAAUCAAC